rnacentral:rRNA from 1 species
AAAUGGCCGCGGUAUUCUAACCGUGCUAAGGUAGCAUAAUAAUUUUCUUUUUAAUUGGGAGAUAGUAUGAAGGAGUGAACAAAGAGGUUUUGUGCCAUUUUCAAAAAGAUAAUUUUAUUUAAGGGAGUAAAAAUACUCCAAUAAUCUAGUAGGACGACAAGACCCUAUAAAACUUUACUACCAAUUCUACCACCUUAAAGCUAUACUUUAAAUAGAAUAGGAAGUUAAGCUGGGGCGGCAUAUCCUUAUCGGAAAUUCCACUAACACAUUUAGUGAAUAACUAGAACAUUAAUAAGUAGUAAGAUUAGUUACUUUAGGGAUAACAGCGUAAUUACUCCGAAGAGCUCAUAUCGAUGGAGUAGAUUGCGACCUCGAUGUUGAAUUGGAUAUUCCUCCCUAGGGCAGCCCCUAAGAGAGG